rnacentral:rRNA from 1 species
GCCUUCGGGAACCGUGAGACAGGUGCUGCAUGGCUGUCGUCAGCUCGUGUUGUGAAAUGUUGGGUUAAGUCCCGCAACGAGCGCAACCCUUAUCCUUUGUUGCCAGCGGUCCGGCCGGGAACUCAAAGGAGACUGCCAGUGAUAAACUGGAGGAAGGUGGGGAUGACGUCAAGUCAUCAUGGCCCUUACGACCAGGGCUACACACGUGCUACAAUGGCGCAUACAAAGAGAAGCGACCUCGCGAGAGCAAGCGGACCUCAUAAAGUGCGUCGUAGUCCGGAUUGGAGUCUGCAACUCGACUCCAUGAAGUCGGAAUCGCUAGUAAUCGUGGAUCAGAAUGCCACGGUGAAUACGUUCCCGGGCCUUGUACACACCGCCCGUCACACCAUGGGAGUGGGUUGCAAAAGAAGUAGGUAGCUUAACCUUCGGGAGGGCGCUUACCACUUUGUGAUUCAUGACUGGGGUGAAGUCGUAACAAGGUAACCGUAGGGGAACCUGCGGUUGGAUCAC